UACGGGGGGAGCAAGCGUUGUUCGGAUUUACUGGGCGAAAGGGCGCGUAGGCGGCCACCGCAAGUCGGUUGUGAAAUCUCCGGGCUUAACCCGGAAAGGUCAAUCGAUACUGCGGGGCUAGAGUGCAGAAGGGGCAACUGGAAUUCUCGGUGUAGCGGUGAAAUGCGUAGAUAUCGAGAGGAACACCUGCGGCGAAGGCGGGUUGCUGGGCUGACACUGACGCUGAAGCGCGAAAGCUAGGGGAGCGAACGGG
rnacentral:rRNA from 1 species